AGUAACGCGUGAGUAACCUGCCUUUCAGAGGGGGAUAACGUUCUGAAAAGAACGCUAAUACCGCAUGAGACUACAGAGCUGCAUGGCUCAGUGGUCAAAAGGAGCAAUCCGCUGAAAGAUGGACUCGCGUCCGAUUAGAUAGUAGGCGGGGUAACGGCCCACCUAGUCGACGAUCGGUAGCCGGACUGAGAGGUUGAACGGCCACAUUGGGACUGAGACACGGCCCAGACUCCUACGGGAGGCAGCAUG
rnacentral:rRNA from 1 species